GUUUUAUUUUGAGUUUUUCUUUUGUGCACUGUCCUCAUGGCUAUACCCUCCAGAGAACCUGUUCCUCUGGGAAUCUUAUUUAAUGAAGAUAUUUCCAUAUUGAAGUGAGGGAGGUGGGAAUUAAAGUGAAAGGGGAGAUGAUGCAUUUAUUCUGGAUUAUGUUUGAAGUGUUAGAUGGUGAAGUGUUAAAAGCAUCCAAAUUAAAUCCAUAGCAAUCAGAACACUGCUUUACUAGAUUUUGCCAACUGCCAGUCAUGUUGGACUGAGCUAAUCUGUUCCUCUUUCUGAAACUAUUAAGGUAAAUAAUUAACAAUAAAACUUCCUCUUAUAAAGGC
rnacentral:lncRNA from 1 species